CUCAUCCUUAAUAUUCCUCUUUAUUUUAAUAUACAUGUAGCGACCUGGGUACCCUUUAUUUUAUCACUAAUUUCAUGUGUUCUUUGUUGCUUGAUUAAUUGGAAAGAGGAAGAUAGGUAAGAGAUAGCAGACGAGUAAGAGGUCAAGUCACGUGAUUCUUGCGUACACUGCACUUAUGAAUGAAUGAAUGUAGAUGUGUUUUAGAAAUUAUUUAAUGAUAAGAUAUGAAUAAAAAGGGCCAACAGUCGACGAUCAAGAUACUGAAAUUGUGUAAGCGAUUGAACAUCAAUAUGAAAAGGUAUCUUCGUUAUCUUCGUGUAGUAAGGAUACGUAGGUGAUUUCAAAAAUCCUUCCCAUGUGAUGUCACCUCUGAGUUCUGCGUCCACGAUUCACAUUAUUUAAAUAAGAAUCUUUGAUUCUGAUCGAGUAAAUGGUUUUGCUCGAGGAUGGAUUUUUGAACUCAUUUUCGAAGAAACCUCCGAGUAUCGUGGACACAAGCCUUAAGAGUUGGUCACAUAAUCGGUUGAAGGAUUAUUUGAAAAAAAAAAAAAAAAA